UCCAAACGGAAUAAUUUUUUUUACAAAUAAUAAUUAACUUAGAAUUUCAUGGCUGCAAUACGUGCCAAAGUAGUUGGGAAAGGGCAUGUUCACCACUGUGUUACAUCACCUUUUCUUUCAACAACACUCAAUAACCGUUUGGGAACUGAGGAAACUAAUUGUUGAAGCUUGGAAGGUGGAAUUCUUUCCCAUUCUUGUUUUAUGUAGAGCUUCAGUCUCCUCUGUCGUAUUUUACGCUUCAUAAUGCACCACACAUUUUUGAUAGGACUGCAGGCCGGCCAGGAAAGUACCUGCACUCUUUUUUUAUGAAGCUGAACACGUGCUGAAUGUGGCUUGGCAUUGUCUUGCUGAAAUAAGCAGGGGCGUACAUGAAAAAGUCGGCGCUUAAAUGGCAGCAAAUGUUGUUCCAAACAGAUGGGUAACUUACAGAUGUGUAAGUUACCCAUGCCUUGGGCACUAAUGCACCCCCAUACCAUCACAGAUGCUGGCUUUUGAACUUUGCGUCGAUAACAUUCUGGAUGGUUCGCUUCCCCUUUGGUCCGGAUGAAACGGUGUCCAAUAUUUCCAAAAAUAAUUUGAAAUGUGGGCUCGUCAGACCACAGAACACCUUUCGACUUUGCAUCAGCCCAUCUUAGAUGAUCUUGGGCCCAGAGAAGCCGGCGGCGUUUCUGGAUGUUGAUAAUUGGCUUUCGCUUUGCAUAAUAGAGCUUUAACUUGCACUUACAGAUAUAGCAACACACUGUAUUUAGUGACAGUGGUUUUCUGAAGUGUUCCUGAACUCAUGUGGUGAUAUCCUUUAGAGAUUGAUGUCGGUUUUUGAUACAGUGCCGUCUGAGGGAUCGAAGGUCACAGUUAUUCAAUGUUGGUUUCCAGACAUGCCGCUUACGUGGAGUGAUUUCUCCGGAUUCUCUGAACCUUUUGAUGAUAUCAUGGAGCGUAGAUGUUGAAAUCCCUAAAUUUCUUGCAAUUGCACUUUGAGAAAGGUUGUUCUUAAACUGUUUGACUAUUUGCUCACGCAGUUGUGGACAAAGGGGUGUACCUCGCCCCAUCCUUUCCUGUGAAAGACUGAGCAUUUUUUGGGAAGCUGUUUUUAUAGCCAAUCAUGGCACCCACCUGUUCCAAAUUAGCCUUCACACCUGUGGGAUGUCCCAAAUAAGUGUUUGAUGAGCAUUUCUUAACUUUAUCAGUAUUUAUUGCCACCUUUCCCAACUUGUUUGUUGCAUGUUGCUGGCAUCAAUUUCUAAAGUUAAUGAUUAUUUGCACCAAAAAAAUGUUUAUCAGUUUGAACAUCAAAUAUCAAUCAAUCAAUCAAUGUUUACUUAUAUAGCCCUAAAUCACUAGUGUCUCAAAGGGCUGCACAAACCACUACGACAUCCUCGGUAGGCCCACAUAAGGGCAAGGAAAACUCACACCCAGUGGGACGUCGGUGACAAUGAUGACUAUGAGAACCUUAGAGAGGAGGAAAGCAAUGGAUGUCGAGCGGGUCUAACAUGAUACUGUGAAAGUUCAAUCCAUAAUGGAUCCAACACAGUCGCGAGAGUCCAGUCCAAAGCGGAUCCAACACAGCAGCGAGAGUCCCGUUCACAGCGGAGCCAGCAGGAAACCAUCCCAAGCGGAGGCGGAUCAGCAUCGCAGAGAUGUCCCCAGCCGAUACACAGGCAAACAUAUGUUGUCUUUGUAGCAUAUUCAACUGAAUAUGGGUUGAAAAUGAUUUGCAAAUCAUUGUAUUCUGUUUAUAUUUACAUCUAACACAAUUUCCCAACUCAUAUGGAAACGGGGUUUGUACUUAAUUUAAUAAUUAUUUACAUUUAUGAAAGAGUAAUUCUGUUUGUAAUAUAAUUUUUAGUCAAGUAACGACUAUUAUUAUUGCUUUUUAAAACAGAUAUUCCAAACAUUGUUAAUUGAUAAACUGUUUUAUCAGGAUAUGGUGUAUUUGCUCUUGCAUCAAUUGAAAAAGGUUCUUUUGUGGUCGAGUACCGAGGGAAGUUCAUCUCAAGACAUGAGCGGGACAAGAGACAGAAACCCUCUAUAAAUAUCUUUACUAUUUAUCUGGCAUUAUAUGCUCAUAAUGUUAACAACAAAAAGUGCUGAUAAUGUUAUAAUUAAUAAGUUCUAACAUUAUUUUUAUGUGUUUUGUUGCAGACACCAACUGUUGAUGUUCUAUCUCAACAUUCUCCAGACUCAUGUGACCGAUAAACCGACUUCAUCCCUCCAACAGACACCAACUGUUGGGGUUCUAUCUCAACAUUCUCCAGAUUCAGAUGUGAGCGAUAAACCGACUUCAUCCCUCCAACAGAAACCAACUGUUGAGGUUCCAUCUCAACAUUCUCCAGAUUCAGAUGUGAGCCAUUAACUGACUUCAUCCCUCCAACAGAAACCAACUGUUGAGGUUCUAUCUCAACAUUCUCUAGAUUCAGAUGACAGCCAUAAACCGACUUCAUCCCUCCAACAGAUUGACAGCAGGACAAAUCGCUGGAAGUAGGUAUGUCUCAAGCUUCUUCCACUUGGUCCACUCCAAAGCGGGCUGCAAAGGGGAAGAAGUGGAAGCAGUUGAAUGACACAUGUUGCAUUUUGUAACUGGCAACAAAGUACCAGGUAAAAAAGAUUGUGAAGCCUGCCUCCAUAAAGAACUAGUAGCUCUACAGGACAGAGAUUGGCUUGCCAUCAAGUACUACAUCCAUAACAGAAUUAUAUUAAAAAAAGGGGAAAAAAAUGUUUUCCCACAUCUUCUGUGGUAGUUUGAGUAUGUUACCAGCAAUUAAAAAAGCAAAAUAAA